UACGGGGGGAGCAAGCGUUGUUCGGAUUUACUGGGCGUAAAGGGCGCGUAGGCGGCGUGACAAGUCACUUGUGAAAUCUCCGGGCUUAACUCGGAACGGUCAAGUGAUACUGUCGUGCUAGAGUACAGAAGGGAGCAACUGGAAUUCUCGGUGUAGCGGUGAAAUGCGUAGAUAUCGAGAGGAACACCUGCGGCGAAGGCGGGUUGCUGGGCUGAUACUGACGCUGAGGCGCGAAAGCCAGGGGAGCGAACGGG
rnacentral:rRNA from 1 species